GUCUGGGCUGGUUUGUACUGAUUUCUGCUGGUCUGUACUGGUAGCGAGAUGGCGAACUGCAGGACCUACAUGAGAGGACUGGUGAUCAGCUUCAACCUGCUGCUGCUGCUGUUUGGGAUUCUGAUGAUCGUUGUGGGAUUCUCAUCGGGCUACGGCAACAAACACCUCAUCUUGAUACAGCUGGAUGAGUACUCCAGUACCCAGAGCCUGCUGGUUCUUAGGGGUUUCGGACCGGUUACCGUGGUGAUCGCCAUGCUGGGACUCAGCGCCUCGGCGACACGGACCAGGACCCUACUACUGGUGUACUCUGCCCUGGUCUUCGUGGUGUUCCUGGCCCUCAUGAUCGUGUCAGCUCCUCUCAUCCAGGUCCAGACCCAGAUCGAGCGGGGGAUGGAGGAGUUGUUCUUGAACGUGACUCCUCUCUACAGAGCGGAGGCGGAGCUCCAGCGGCCCCUGGAGGAACUGCAGCUGACGGACUCCUGCUGUGGUCUGAAGAGGGCUUCUGAUUGGAAGGAUCAGAUUCCUCCUUCCUGUUUCUGUUCCCCUCCCUACCCCUCGUCUCCCCCCUACACCCACAUGAGCUCCUCCUCUCGUCCUCUAGGCAACAGUACAGUUCUGGCUCCUUGUGUGUCCGUCAGAAGGUCACAAGCCCCCGUGACCCCCCGUGACCCUGUGACCCCCCGUGACCCUGUGACCCCCCGUGACCCUGGCACCUCCCGGUACACUGUCACCUCUGCAACUUCAGAGGAGCUGUGGGUCCACUCCAAGCCCUGCGGUCCGAUCCUGAAGAGUCAUCUGACCUUCCUCAUCAGAGUCAGUAUAGGAGUCAUAUCUGCCUUCACAACUGUUCUGAUGGCUGCUAUGCUCCUGUCUCUAGCUCUGGCUCUGGAGAGGUUCUGGACCCACUGGAAAACACCGGUGGUGGAGACCACCGUGGACGACUUCAACAGAGUCAAAUACCAGCCUCAACCCUCCCUCACCUGACCCUUGACCUCUCAGCCUCAACCCUCCCUCACCUGACCCUUGACCCCUGACCUCUCAGCCUCAACCCUCCCUCACCUGACCACUGACCCCUGACCUCUCAGCGUCAACCCUCCCUCACCUGACCCCUGACCUCUCAGCCUCAACCCUCCCUCACUCGACCCCUGACCCUUGAACUCUCAGCCUCACUCCUCCCUCCCCUGACCCCUGACCUUCACCAUGUUAAACACUACUUCCUGGUUCUCUGGUGUGUUUCCUGCUGCUGUUUUGUGGUCGACAGGAAUCAAAGCUCUGUGUUUGUCUCUGAUUUGGGGCCUGUCAGCAAUAAAAUAACCCUCGAGAAACCACCGUGUGAUACACUGUCUUUCAUUUAAGUGCGAUGCUGAAACCAGUGAGAUGUUCCUCUGAAUAUACCGACAAUCUCCUCUUCUGUUGAUGGGGGUUCAGAAGGACCACCAUGACAGACCUUCCUCAGUGGUCCUGAGCUGCCCAGCAGGGGGUGCUGUGAUCCACAGUCCGGGUCCUGAUAAACCAGGCUGGAGCUCCAGGUUCGAGAUGUUUAUUCAGAGUUCAGGAGGAGCCAGAGGUUCGGUUCGGUCUCAUUUGCUUAUGUGGCGACACGAGGAGGCUUUACUAAUUUAUAUCAGAGUAUCUUCUCUUUGUUACCGACAACGCCACC
ensembl:lncRNA